rnacentral:rRNA from 1 species
CACGGGGGGAGCAAGCGUUGUUCGGAAUCACUGGGCGUAAAGGGUGCGUAGGCGGUUUGGUAAGUCUGAUGUGAAAUCUAUGGGCUCAACUCAUAGUCUGCAUCGGAAACUGCCGGGCUUGAGUAUGGGAGAGGUGAGUGGAAUUCCUGGUGUAGCGGUGAAAUGCGUAGAUAUCAGGAGGAACACCUGUGGCGAAAGCGGCUCACUGGACCAUAACUGACGCUGAUGCACGAAAGCUAGGGGAGCAAACAGG